rnacentral:tRNA from 2 species
CAGGGUGUAGCUAAAAUAGUAAAGCACCUCACUUACACCGAGAAACUAUCCGUGCAAGUCGGAUCCCCCUGA